rnacentral:misc_RNA from 1 species
AAAGUCGUAACAAGGUUUCCGUAGGUGAACCUGCGGAAGGAUCAUUAGUAUGACCAACCCGUAGUUGGCAAGUCCAACGUGAGUUGGCACCUUUUUUUAUUUAAACUCCUGUUUUCUAUGAAAUCAGUCUGAACCUGUUUAUUAUUAAACGUUAAAACUUUCAACAACGGAUCUCUUGGUUCUC